GCCAGCGGCGUGUGCGCGCCGCUCCGCUCUUCCAGCAGCCCCGGCGCCGUUAAAUAAGGGAAUAAAAACGCUUUGAAGGCAAAAGCCGCGCCGUAAUGGCAGCUACAGCUUUCGCAGGGGGCAUGCGUUGUACCAGAACGAGCCGUCGCUGCGGCGACGGAGGACGUGCCGCCUCGUUCUGCGGGACUGCAGCAUUUAGAGAUGGGCCCGAUUCCUUCUUGCCGAGUGAACGGCAAAGCUGCUCCGCGCGUGCUGGGAGUUGCCGUAACCGCGUGGCUUUGGGAGUUCGGUGCGGCUGCGGAGCGAAACAAACCGGGGCGAGGACGGGGAUCUGAGCUCCAGCGAGGAAGGAAGGCGGGAAGAUCGGGCUGCGAUAAACAACGCUGAAAAAUGGCAGGAGAACAAUGUUUACUUUUGAAUAUAUGGCCCGCUGCCAGCCUGGCGCUGGUUUUUAGGGCUUUUGGCUGAAGUGUGCGAGACGUAACUGCGUGUGGAAAGUCAUCUCUUGCACUUGACCGGCUGCUUGUUGCCUGGCUUAGAAUGCAUUUCAUGGUCAGUGGAAAAAAAUGAGGAAGAGGAGGGUGUGGCUGCUGCUUAGAGAAGCUGGCUGUGCAUGCAGGGACUGGCUUUGGGGUUGUGAUCCUUCAACCUCACAGAAGGAAGACUUCUCCUAGGUAAAAGAGAUUUUUUAUUUUUAUUUUUUAAUAAUGAGAAAUCAAGUAGGCAUGUAAUCCUGUUAUUUUUAAAUCCUUACUCAUUAAUCUCAUAUUAAUGCAUAUUUUGAAAGGAUGGUCAGUUCUCACAGUUGUUGAGUUUGAUGGCAUCUUUAAUUGCGUCUUGCUUUGCCCCAGAUUUCUUGACUCACUAAUCAUGACAAAACCCACAAAAACUAGUUGCAACAUUUUUAGUCUAGUAAGGAUAGUGCUUUGAUGUUUUCUUUAUUGAGAAUAUCCACCACGGGACUGAUCUUGUAGACUCUAAAGUCUAUCUGUAACCAGUUCUUAAUUUCUGUGCAGAAUGCUUCACUGUUAGCCCCUGCAUCGACAUGGAUACACUUAGAUAUUUUCUUCUGCAGUUCCUUCUGUUACGAGUGAAACUACAUGAUCACAAAAGGUUGGAAUGAGACUUAGAAUAUUUUAAAGUAAAAAUUCUUGAGGAGUGAGAUCUUGACAGUGUUUCUAGUAAAAGUGUGCAUAUCUUGCUUACACUGACUAUAAGGUCUAUUUGUUGAUAAUACUUAUUUACAUUCUUAAUAGAUGUUAAACCUCUUUUCUUCUGCAGGGACAACGUAUUAUCACUGUGUUUAUUCCUCCCCUGUAGCAAAUGUUAUUUAAGUAUUUUGAAAAUGCGUGGCUUUUGUUGAUGCUGUGAGUGAAAGUGGAGCUGCAGAAACUUCUUCAGUAGUUUAACCACUCACAGGUGUGGUUACAGAAUCUGUUCCCUCAUCUCCUGUCUUACAUUUGAGCUCAUCAUCUCAUAAUUAUGUAUCCUUGUUCUCCUUUGAAGAGCAGCAGCGUGUGGGUUGUGGUGAGGUAUUAUCGCAUUUUGGGUGAAUUGUUAGCCACAAGACUGAAGGGUAAGUGUAGCAAACCACCACACAAGUGGCAAUAUCCCAGCAUCUGACACACAUCUUGGAAUCUCUCAGAAUUAUUAAAUGAGUUUUACAAAUAACGAUGUGUGGAUGGGGAAAAAAGAUAAUAAAAUAAGGAAACGCAUUUGUAUUGUGAAGCAGAAUCUUGUAAGUUUUUCCUAAUUAUUUAAGGUGAGAGGAAAAGCAGGUAGCAAAAAAUACGUGCUUCCAAGUAUUUUUGUGAAGUUUGAGAAAUGCAUUGGUAGCACUGCAUCAGGCACAGCAGCUAACUUGGAGGAUAAAUUAUUUCAUUCUUACCACACUGUAGUAGGGGUGGGAAGAGGUUUUGGGGAUCAUUGUUUUUGACCAUAGCAAACAUUUAAAUGUAGAAAUUACUGCACUGGAUUAGAUCUGCAGUCUAAUGCUAAGUCUACCCAGACCGUUCUUACAAAGGGUUGGUUGGUAAGAAAAUGCAGGGCAAAAACAACCAGCAUUUGAUCCUUCUGGAAUACCCUGUCCUUGUCAGAAAAUAGUCCAGCCAGAUACCUUGGCCAAUGGCUUUGUUACAGGUUUGUGCAAGGGUAUUUCCAGCAAACGAUCCUAUUUAAUGUUACAUUUCUGUAGGCUGUGCAUAGAACAGUAUUCUUUCAAAGUCUCACUGAUGUCCCUUAAUGAAGAACUGUGGCACUGAUUUUCACAUGCUUACCUACACUUAGUAAGGUAAUAUAUUUCCAUAGUUUUAAUGCUGCUCAUUUAAUUUUACUGCGUGCUCUCCUGUUGAACACUAUACGCAAAAAAGUACAGUUCUGACUUUCAAAGUGUGCAUCUCUGUCGUGUCCCCUGUUGCUCAUGUGCUUGUUAACAUCAUCACUUUGUCAUGUUACAUGGCAAUCGUCUCGAGAGCCAGAUCGUUUUGGUCACCUGCCCUUACACUCAUGUUCUGUGGUUUUAAUGAGGUAAGGUAAAAAGAACUGUAGACAGCCUUCUUCUUGAAGGUAUUUCCCUGUCAGGUACCCACUGGAAGCAUAGUUUCUGUGAUUUUUUGCAUGUGCUGUUAAAAUUGUCUUUUUUCUUGACAGUACUGUUGAAUUGUUGUGAUGGCACCCCGAUCUUUUUCCUUUGCUGAGAAUGUUGCUAUGCAACUUACUUAAUAAGUACCAAAAAGUAUUUAUCAUGUUGUUUCAUACUCGUUUAACUUUGUUAAAUUUCUUCAGUAAUCCAAAUACACUCCAAGUGUCAAUUUUGCCACUUUGUUUUACAAUUAAUUUUUCCCAGACUACUAAAUAAUGUUAAAAGCUGAUGCAAGUGUAACUUCUGCAUACAAUUACUGUUAAUCUUUUUCUUCUUAAGUGCCUUUUUUAUCCCUACAUUUUGCUUUGGGCUACUUAGCUCAUUUUUAAUCAUGAGCCUAAAUUUUGGUCACAAUUGCUCUGUUUUCUUUAUGAUCUUUGAGUCACUAUCAAAGCCCUUUUGAAUGGCCAAGUAAAUAAUAAUUUCACCUGCAGAUCCACUCCAAUAUAAAAAGAUGUAUUUUUCAUUACGUUAGCUGUAUUGUUUUUCUCCCCAUUCUGUAACCUCUUCUUAGACAUUCAAGUUAACAUAUUUUCAAGUAGCCUUCCAACCAUUUUAUUAAAUGCUAGAAUUCAUUGGCAUGUAAUGUGGACUAUUUCUGUGGCUAUUUAAGGAGUACCACUCUUUCAUUCCAGAUAGAAGAAUGCAUUUUCUUUUGGUUGGAAACGCUGAUUUUAACCUUGAGCAGCCUGUCUUGUCUUUUAGUUUCUCCAGUUAUUUCUGCACUUUCUGUUUUCUUAUCUGCUGCUCUCUUGCCCUUUACUUGCAGAAGAAGAGAUUAACGAGAUGUAAUCUGCCGGGUUCAGAAAAUACAAUUUAAUCACUUUGUUAGUACAAACCUUUUUCAAUGGUUUCCACCUGCUCUAGGCCUAAAAAGAAGUUGUUCUUUUUAAGAUAAAGGCUGCCUCUCAGUCUGUUUGGAUUUCUGGACAUUGAGAGGAGUGGUCAGUAUUGUUCCACCCAGAAAAAAAUUGAUCUGUGCAAGAACUUUGUGUCACAGAGUGACAUUUCCUCCAGCUGUUUUCCUGUUCCAAGAGAAGAAACGUCUUAUUCCAUAACUUCUUGUAGGGUGGUUUUACUUCCCAUUUUGGAUUUACAUAUUGCUGUUGGCUGGAGUGAAAGAAAAAGAACUGGAGAAUGAAGGACAUGCAGGCUGAAGGAGGUGUAUAGUCUUGCAUUUCUUCAGGAGGGUUAGUGGUUGUAGAGAUUUUUGUUUGUUUUUUUCUUAAUAUAGCUCUCAUCAGGAACCCAGCUAUCAAGAAAUGUUAACGUGGCCAUAUAUACGAAAAGUUGAGUUCACUCUUUUGCAUGACUAAAGACCUCAAGGUCAUAAUCAGCCAUUAUCUUUGUUGCAGUUUUUCUUCCUCUUUAUUCACUCCUUUUUUUCCCCCAAUACUAUUUCAAACCUACCAGACAACUGUUGUGCAGUCUUCUUGCUUUUACUGUAUGUCAAUAAAUUGUCUUUAUGUCUUUGAUUCCUUGGUUCAGUCCUUAUGCUUCUAAUCCCAGUUUUAAAUACUACUUUGUAAGUACAUUCUUAGUUCUAUUAAUUUCAGUUCAGUGCUUUUUGUUUUUGAAAAAAGGUACCUCUUUGCCUUGACAUAUGUAAAGUUUUUCUCAGUACCCAGUUUGCCCUUGUCCACGUACUUCUUCUGUGUUUAGAGAUUGUUUCCCUUUAUUUUGAACCGAUACUCUAUGCCUGCAUAAUCUUUCAUGCAUAAAAGCAGAGUGUUCCCAUUUAAGUCAAUGGGAAGAUCUGAUAAACAUGCAACGAGACAAUGUGUUACUGGAUUUCCCAGUAGGUUAUUUUAAAUACCUGUUGUAGAUUUUUUUUUUUUUUUCCCUAAGAGCUUGUUUUGCUAAGGACGUUGACUUUUUUAAACUUAGUUGUCUGUCAGUACUUUCCAACUCCAGUGUUCUUUCUUUGACCCUUGGUGCAUUAAAAAGCCCAAUAUUUUUCUUCUAGAUUUUGAGGAAUAGCAGUCACUGGAAACUGUGUGAUUAGUUUCAUACAUUCUAGACAAAGAAGUGGAGAGGUGAGAAAUGCAGGGAGUUGUCCUGAGUGCCAGUCAUUCACCUACCUGCAGUGGGCAUGUCACCCAUUUGAUGCCAACACGUAGUCUGGAAGUUUCUUUUAUUUUGUCAGCCCUCUGGGCUAAACCUCAUGCUUCCUGGCGGCAUGUGCAUGCUACAGAGGCAUCUUCCUUUCAGUUUUCCUGAUGAUAGUCUCUUUCCCUCUCUUCCUACUGGGGUAAGGAAAGACCAGAAACAGCAGGAACAAGGAACAGCGAGGGUGAGCGAAGGAAGCAAUUAUUUUUGCAAACAGAAAAUACAGUAAAGCAAAUAUAAUGUUAUUUAUUUUGGAUUCUUGAUUUCAUUUCUCUCUUCAGAUCCUUAUAAAACAUAUUGAAAUUCACGGGUUCCUGCUAUGAAGAAGCUUGCAAACAAGGAAAGUCACUUCUCAGGUGUCCUGAGGAGGAACCUUUCGCAUCCUGCAUGUUGCUUGAGGAUGCAUGGCAAGCAGAAGACAGAGGAAGGGGCAUGCUGUCUGGGUAUAAUGAGACCCCCAGAUUGCUUCAUCUGGAAUGAGACACUUCAAGUGUUAAUUCCUGUUGCUAGACACUAGAAAGCUACAUGUAUUAUUAUGGAUCCAAAAUAUGUUAAUUUGCACAAAUUAUCUAAGAACUGGAAGACACCCUUCCUCCUAUCUCAAAUAGUUAAUCUAGAUAACUCCUGUACCCUGCUGGUUUAGGACUUUGUUUUGGAGCCUGGCACUCCUGGGCCUCCUUAGAAAGUCUGCUGACAUGGGUAAUCUAGUGCUCGCUUUCAACUGCAUCUAGCCCAUGAGGAGUCUGUCUGUGGUACUAAGCUCCCUGCUCCAAAGACUUUGGUCAGCAUGGCACCCCUGCCUGGCCUUAAUCAUAUUCUCUUCUGGAGCCCCUAGCAAUGCUUAGCUUCUUCAGAAGUGCACCUGCCUGAUGGUAGAGGGGAAGAUAUUUUAGUGUAAGCCACUCAAUUCACAUGCUCUUUUCCUCCCAUCCUGGCUGAGUAACUGGUGUUAACACUUAGAUCCUGGUAAGCAGUAUCACCACAGAUAAGGAAGCCUACACAUGAAGCCUUGCUUCUGUUGAUAAAUCUCAUAUUAAUAAUAUUGUCCCAGGAUACUGUAAACGAGUUGCUAACAGAAAGCUUAACAGCAAAAGUAAGUGCUUAUUUAACCUGAUUAAGCCCAGAUAGUGGCAUGCAUCAUUUCUAAUAGGCAGCAUAUUUUUCCUUUAUUUUCCUCUGUUUCUUUUUUACCAGUGAAAAAUCCUGGAGCUGGCCAUUAUGUUCUCCAGCAUCAGGUAUUUUUCCUGCAUAUUUGUAUACUGUGAAAUAUUUUAAGAUUUACAUUUAUGAUAUCUACAAAAUAUUACAGUUUUUAAACUGUUUUAAGACCCAAACAAUAUUAUAAAUCAGCUUAGAACUUUCCCAGAAAUGUUGAAAACAAAGCAUUCUGAGGUGGUAGUUUUCACUUGAAAUGUUUUGAUAACUUCAAAACAGUUCAAUAACUGUGCAGCAAUUAGCCUGGUUUUGGGAGGAAGACUACAUGGAUUUUGUAUGUAUUUUUGCUCAGGAAAUAAUAUGCCAUUGAGCCUUGGCGGCUGAAGGUGUCUCUAUGUUUGAAGAAGUGGAAGAAAAAAAAAGAAAAAGUGGAAUGAUUUAGUGACUGAAGAGAGUUGCCACUUGCAUGAGCUCCAUCCCUGGGGAUAUGACCUUUUUAAUCCUCUUUAGUUAAUGUAUUGGUGAUCUUUACUUAGGCAGAGUAAACAGUGCUGUUGUGAACAAAGGGGAGGUCAUGCUUCCUGCAUUACACUCUGACCCCGGGGUCACGGCCUUUGUUCCCCGCUCAAUGGGAAUUGCUCUCCAAGGGCCACCACAAAAUGGAGAACUAAUUUCGGCGCGUGCUGGCGGAGAAUGGCAGCAUACCGGAGGAGUGAAGGCCUCAGCUCCCUGCUUGCUGGUGGCCGCCGCGCCCGGACCUCACUGAGGAGAGCGCGCAGCUUGGGCCUGCCACCACAGGGAACUAGAUCGUGCUGCGUGCUGUCUUUACUCGUUUUUCUUUUUUUUUUUCCUCUUUUUUUUUUUUUUUUUUUUUUAAUUCCCCCCCAGCUCUUACUAGACUUUUCCAAGGGAAGAAGCAAUAUGUGAGAGAAAAUGGCGGGAUUUUUCUCUUCUAAAAGAAAAACGCUGUGGCAAUCGCAGCAUUGAACUUGGGCCUCCAAGGUCAUAGCUGCGUCUCAGAGUAUUACAGUUGACAAGCGCUGAAAUUCAGCUUGUAAGGAAACGUGAUGCUGUGUCCCAUCAGAUUGUGUUCGUCACCUUUUUCACCGCAUUCUACCAGCACUGCAUGACAUAAAUAUACACAUACAGAAAAUGUGAAGCCAGAUAUGAUAAUUGAGGGGUACAAAGCCAGACUGAGCUGGGAAUUUCUCAUUUAUAAUUAAUUCUAUGUUAAAAAGAAACAAACUGGUUUGUUGGGUGGGGUUUUUGUUUGGCUUUAGAAAUAACUGGUGGCACAAUGUGAUGCAUCUCGUUUUUAUUUGUUGUGACCACUGAACAUUCAUAAACGUUAUAUCUGAGAUAAAUUAUUUGGAAAAUUCACAAUAGAAAACCAUCACAUUUCACUGAAAGAUGUUUAUUAUUUUUCAUUUCUACAUGCUUUUCUUUGCUCAGCACUAAAAUCUAUGAAAUGAUAGAUCAUAAAGCAAUUACUUGAACUGCAAACAUAUCUUCAGUCAAAAUACUUCUUUUCCACCACCCUUCCUUCUAUCCAAUGAAAAAAAAAAAAAGAAAAAAAGCUCAUAAUUGCUGAUGACAGGCAAGCAGUGUAAAACCCAGCAGGGUAAGCAGUGAGCACAGGUGGCCUGUAUGUGAACAGGGAAACUCACAACAGUGCCAUCACAGAAAUAAGUAAUACUAUGGUACUAAGCUUUGGGGCUCCAUAAGACUGUGAUCAUAAAUGGAUGUAAACACAGCAUCAAGGUAAAAAUGUGCAUUACAGUAGGUGUCAGCUCUUGGGCAUUUCAGGGCAUACUGAUUUUUAUUUUUCCCACUUUUUAUGCCACAAUAAAUCCCUGAAGGACUACCAUUUUGGUGUAACAGAUUUCAGAGUGGGUUUUCCUUAUGGCUUAGGGAACAGCACUGCUAAUACCGUUUGCUGCAGUGUCCACAUGCAUGUUUCUUACAGCUCCUUUUAGGCUGCUUCAGAUUACACGCUGAAAUAUGGUUUUACUCAAUACAGGGUACUGUAAUUGUCUUUUCUGUGAGACAGCAGUCUUUUCUGUUUCUGUCUCUCUUUCUCUUCAUUUUAAUUUGUUUACUUGGCAUUCCAGACAUUUCAAUUAAAAAGUUAACAUCUUUCUCUUAUUUUAUUUGCUGUUUAAACAAACAUUUCCAGUUGUCUACUUGUAGAUUUAAAAAUGUAUUCUGUAAUAUAGCAAAAUAAUUAUUUAUUAUUAAAAUAUUAAUAAAAUAACAUUUUAAAAAGUGGCCAAGCAACUCCAAUGUCAUUCCAUUUUAAUGAAAGCUUGCAUUUAAAGCUGAGCCAAGCAAGAAGGGCACAAAGUUAGUAUGUCAGUAGCAAGGGACACUGAAUACAGCAAUACUGAAAUAGACACUCCUGUUUCCUUUAUUCGUUACUUGAAAUUCGCCAAGACUACUUGCUUUACAUUUUAAUAGAAGACAGAGGGGAAAGCUAUGCUUACUAUAUCUACUAUCCAAUAAAGAUGAUAAUGUCAGGUUAGCAUGUGUAUAUUAUUCACUUAUGUUCAUUAGCUAAAACUAGUACAUAUAGUAAUGAAAAUACGAGGUCCAUCCACUUCACCAUGUGUUCUUCAGUACUGGUGUUGCUUUUUUGUUACCUGCAGGAUUAAAACACUAAACAAAGUGUCAAGGCAAUGUCUGUUGCAUUUAUUUUUCUUGUGGGGUUGAUUUUUGUGUUUUUGUUUUCAUUUGCUUUAAAGCAUUGAUGGGGUUGUGCUUGCUCUGGGGCUGAAGAGUUAUAGGACAGUUUUAAAAUGUGGAUAGCUGCUUAGAUGAAAAUGAAAAUGAAGGGAACAUUCCACUAAUUUUCAAAUUUUAAAAUACUUUUUCCUCAGAAAAAUACUGGAACCUUAUAAAAACGCACUAUGUGUCCAUAUGAAAGGAAAGCUAUUUUUUCUCUGUGUUAAAUACUUCAACAUACAAUAAGAUAAUAUGGUAGUAAAAGUGCUACUUCUAAAAGCUUCUUACUGAGUGGAGCCUUUAUGAGAUUUUCUGCUUUGGAUAUAUUUGAGUAUAGACUCUCAAGGUAUUUGUAGCAAAGACAUUACCCCCACCCAACUUACUGCUUAUUUAAUCAUCUUAUUUAAAACAACAACAACAAAACAGUUUGAAAAGAGCUUUGUCCCAGGCAAAGUUUGCAUGAAAAGAGUAAGCGGGGCAUAGUCUAUUUUACUGUGUCAACGUGAGUCCUCAGCAUUACUGCUUCUGUGAGUGAUUUUUCCAGUUAGUAUACGUGAUAAACCCAAACAUUGUUUUAGUCUUUUCAAGACCUUUCUUAUUUCCUAGACAAAGAUGCUACUGAAAUUAGGAAAUCAGAGAAGUGAACUCCUGCAUUACUUUUUCUUAACUUGCUUUAUCAGAAUUGUUUCCAAAUGUGACUCCUGAAGUGAAGACGAAGUAAGAACCAUUCACACUGAAAAGCAUUUCCCCCCAGUUAAGCAACCAUUACACACAUGCCUGUUCUGCCUUGAAUAUUAAGCUGUUUCUAUUACAAGCAGAUUUUUCUGAUCCUUUGGACAAUGGUUUGCUCUAUUUCUAAGGGGAGAAGAAAUAAAAAGUUAUAAAGCUAUCCUGUAGAGCAUGGUUUUGGUCAGGCUUCACAUGUAAUUCCUGAAUCUAUUCUUUUUUUUUUUUUUUAAUUAUUGAUUUAACUUUUUUCUAAAUACCAGACUGACAGAUGAAUGGUUUAGGGCCAUUGUAACUCGACAACAGCCAUUUGAAGUAAAUGCUUAUUUGCCCAUGUUGACUUCAGGUAAAGUCUCUUCUUCUGCCUCUUUCCUUUGAGUACUUAGAUUAAAAAAAACAAAACAAAACAAAACAACACACUGAAGUUUCAAAGUGCUGCAUGGCUACAGAUAGCUGUGUAUUGUACAGUUACAUAUAUGGGUUUCAAUACAAGAAAAUACAAGACAAACCUCAGUUGCACCUGUAAAAGUAAAAAUGGUACUUUUCUGUGGCACUGCAUUGUUACCUUUUUCUGCAGCAUGAGAAUAUCAUUCUUAUGCUUUCCGCAGGCGUUAUCCACUUUGGACACAGAAAUGUGUGACAGCCUCAAAAUGGCGUUCUCUGCUAGGGAAACGCAAAGACAAAAGCUAGAAUCACACAGUAGUUCCAGCACAAAAUGAUCUUUUCCAGUGGAUUACAUUUCUCAGCCUGAUUAAGGUUUUGGCCACUUGCUGGCCAGUAAAAGGUGAAUGCUCAUUCUGUAAAUCCGAUAUUCCUAUAAAAAUCUUCCUCUGUACGUAUGGCAUAGCCAUUUGCUAUCCGAGCAUGUGUGCAAGUACUGUAUUAAAGCAAAAUUGUGUUUUACGAAUCCCCACAAUGAAUCUCAAGUAUCUGUUUGCUUUCCCUUCUGUGCUGAAAACUCCUAGUGCUGCCAACUGAGUGCUGGAACAGAAUUUUGGUUUGUGUGUGCUGUGCUUUAUUAGAUGAAAUACCCGAUCUUUAUGGCCGUUUUCCUAAUUGUUGCAGGUCUAUUAAGGGAAUGAGGUCUUAAAUUCAGGUAGUUACAGAGCAGUUAGUUAGUUGUACUUGUUUUCUGAAUGUAGUGAUGAGUCGUUACAAUAAUGCUGAAGGGAUAAAAUUGCUGUUGAUGCAGUACCAAAUAUUUCGUAUAGUUAGAUACUUUAUAGCGUUCUCUAAAUGCCAUGUUUAUUUGUAUAACUAGAACAAAAAUGUCCUAAACAGUAUCUUCCAAGAUUUUCCUGUUAUUCAAAUGUAACCCUUUAUUAGUAAUCUUCAGGCUGAGUUAUUAACGUGAUUUAUAUUAUGCAAUUUUAUGUAAACCAAAUAUUAAUGUACAGUCUUGCUCUCACAGUAUUCACACUCACUGGACUGUACAUACACAUGCAUUUGAUAUGUAUGGUCCGCCAUGUUACACACAGCACACGUGUGUGCACACACACGCCGAGGAGCUGAAGUAUAUGUCAAUAAUAUAAUUGUUGGGGGAAGAGAAGAUUGUUUCUGUUUCUUAUUGCUGAAUGAUGGAAGGCUUUCCAAUUUGAGUGUCUGGCUUAAAAAGUUUUGAAAAGCAGAUGUAUUUCUAAUUGAGUCAGGCAGAGUCUCGCUGUCUUGUUGCCAGGAGACAAAAGGUGUCACGGUCUAUUUUUUUCCCCCCUUCAUGAUUUUCUUAUUAAGUUACUCGCUGCACUAGAAAAAACAUUAUACAGUUCUCUUGAAUUUUUUUUUAGUGAACCAAGAAAAACUCAUUGUGUGGCAUUUGCACGCAGUGUAAUGUUGAUAAUAUGCUCUGAGAGUCAACUUAAGAGUUGACCUUGUAAGAUUUCAUUGCUUUUAUCAUCCAUCUAAAAUCUCUAGUAAAAUGCCCUGACAAAACAUGGUUAAGUUUGGGAGUUGAAACUUCCAUGGAUUCAUCACCGAUAUCCCCUGGGAACUUUCAGUAUUCAGAAAAGGAAGGUGUUUUUAAACACCUUAAAAAGCAGUUCAGUAAGAAUAUCUGGAAGUGGUUUUUCAUUACUUUUACAUUUUUUUUUUGGAGAUGCUAGCGUUAUCAUUCACAUUGUACUUCUUGUGUAGGUAGCAUAGAAAAACCACAGGGAAUAUUUUGCUUUUAGGAAUGUUUUAGCUUUGCAGUGCUGCAAUAAGCUUUGUUAAAAUAAUGAGUAUUAAAUUGUGGCAGACAUUUAGCCAGUAUGGGUGCUGAUUAAUCUUUCAAAAAGUAAAAAAAGUGAGAAAUUAUACAGAAAGAUUUUUUGCUUUCAGUACCCAGAUGACACAUGCUUUUUAAAAAUACUUUGCAUUAUAUCCAAGGCCAACGUAAUAUAAUGUAAAGGUCCCUUCUUUCUGGACAAUCAUAAAUGGUUCGAUUCAGAGGUGCCUUUCUGAACCGAGGCCUUGCAGCUCCAACUGCCUGUGAGCUCCACAGCCAAAACUGCACUGCUGCAGCUGCUGUUGGUGGAGUUCGCUUGGGCUUCCCCAGUGCGUGCUUCAUCAUUCAGUGCAUUGUCCACAGGGUGUCUCUGAGAGAGGGAUAGCAGUCCAUUCACAUUUUCUAAAAUCCUUUAUGUGUAUUCAGUCAUUUUUGUCAAAUAUGAAAUGUGUGUGUGUGUGUAUAUACAUACAUAUAUAUAUAUAUACAUAUAAGCAGAAUGCUUAACUGUAUCUGUGUAUGGGAAUAAAAAUUUCUAGACAAAGGAAAUACAGAAUCAGAUGUAUGUGUGACAUUUUGUUUACUAAAGCUGAAAAACAGCAGAAUACCGUUAAAGCCGAAUAUGUAAAUUUAGACAUCCUUUCAAAAUGUAGGAAGCCUGGUAAUGAAUACAAGUGUGACAACUUUGGUAAGUAUAACAUGACGUGGGGGAGAAAUGAUUCCCAGGAAGACAGCUCACGGAAUACAAGUUUUAUAAAGUACUGAAUUGAACGUGGUGUUAUUUUUUCUCAACUGCAAUCUAUACUUGCAAUUAAUAUAAAGAAUAUAAAGCCUGUAUUAUCUGUACAGAUAAAUGCAUUAAUAGAGUUAUUUAUACCAUUGUUAUUCUUUUUUAUGAUAAUAAUUAUGAGUCAAUAUUGUUCACGUUAAGAGGGUUUUUUUUCAAGAAGAGGGAUUUAAAUGCCAAUACACUCUGUUACGCUCUGAGACUCAGCCAGCCAAGCUAGACAGAUGAAUCUAAGAUGCACAUGAUUUGUUAUAUAUUUUAUUUUUAAAAGGUUAAAGAGAAAUAUUUAAUUGAACUGUAAAACUGAAGUUGGCUAUGUAAAAUAGGUAAGACUAACAUUCAGCUCAUAGAUGGCUAUGAAUUCACUAUCUGCAACCAAUUUGGGUUAAAUCUCUUCAUGUAUACUAAAUAAUUGCAACUGUGCUACGAAUGUGUCAUCGCAAUGGACAACCCUUUCUAUUUUCUUCCAUUGUGUGUGAAUUUGUCACCUUACUAACAUUUCACUGCAAAAAAAAAAAAAAUAGACACAAAGCAAUUUCUGUGGUACGUUCUCCUUUUUCUUCCCACUACAAUUUACUUUGUAGCACUCCAUUGUAAAACAGAUAAAAAACAGAGCCUCCUCAUACAAAACUUGGGCACCCGACAACUCUUGCCUAGCUGAAAAGCCUAGGAGUAAUUUGCAAUAUGGAGGUAUUUUAAUGCCCUGUUUUGUGGACCGAAGAAAUGACAGGUUUUCAUGGCAGAUUUCAGUAUGUCUAUCUGCUUACUUUUUGCAGCUUACUAUUCUCUAAAAAUUAACAUUUUUAUAAUUUUUUUACAAGGUGAUAUUUACUUUCUUUUUUACAUAUACUUGUAUUUUAAUUCUCUCACUCCCCCCCCUUUCUCCCCUAGUAGCUAUUUCUUCAGGGCAUGCAAUUUUAAGCAGACCUGCCCAUUUGAAUAAACAGGGGUGUGUUUUAAAAUCCAAUAGCUUGUUGUAACUCUGCGUUCCUAGUGAAAUCAGAAGAAAAGUAGUGCUGGAGCAGAGCACUUGAACUUGGAGAACUGGAGUUGUCAGUCACUGCUGAAGGUACAGGAAUAGUGGAUGGUAAGUCCUUUUAACGUUUCUAAGGUUAAGCACUGCAUGUGAAAUACGGCAUCUCCUGGGAUAAGCGCCAUCUCUUUUUCCUGUGUGUAGCCAGAGGAAAAAGCUGGGUUUUUUUUUCCUGCUGGAAUUACCAACGUGGUGGCCAUUUGUGACCUGGGCUGGCUGCCUGCUGUCGCGAGGCAGUGCUCGGGCUGGGAGCCCCUGGGCAGCAGCAAGAGGAUCGGGACCGGGCUGGGAGGCACCCGCACCUAUGGGGCUGCGGGCAGCUGGGGGCAGCGGUGCUGGGGCACCGGGGGGGGCCGGUAUGAUGUGGGCUCCCAAAAUCAUAGGAGACAGCGAUCUGCAGCGUGGAGCUGCCUUGUCUGGGCUCAGCGUGAGGAACGGACUGCAGUCUGUCAGAGCAUCAAGUCGUAUGCCUGGGUAAAGUGGAUGUGGUUUAAAGUUUAGUUGCACUGUCAAUAAAACAAAAUCACACUGUUUUACAGCUGAGGAGAUUUCUCCUUAUCUGACGUGACUUCGCCGCUGCCUAGCUUCCAGCCUCACAAAUAUAUACUGCAGUUAAAUUAGCCUCCAGGAAGUUUACAGCACAUUUAUGAUAAAUAAGGAGAAGCCAGUAAACAAAAUCUUAUCUGGGGUUUUGAUUUGUUGUUUGAGAUGUAAAUUUUCAUCAGUAGGAAUGGUAUACAAGAAAAAUAUUCAUAUCACCAGUUUGGAGCAUACAGCUCUGUGUAGUAAAAAAAAAUCAAAUAGUUGCACGAUAAACAAAAUUGCGUUGGUAACACCCUUUAAAAAACUGCUCAUGUCAUGCACUGUUUGAUACUUCCUUCCUCUGGGAGAAAAAAUAUAUUAAAAAACAAAAAGCUUGUCCUACUGCCAGAGUUUCCUUUGUGUUGGUACCAGCUUCGUGCCAAGUUUGCUGUAAAACAUUAUCGUUAAUAUACAGUGCACCGAAGGAAACGUUUUUGCAAAAUGCUUCAUUAUGUUGGUAGGGAUGGAUGCUGCAAAUGCACCCUUGCUCAGCUGUGCCUUUACAUUUCUGAAUCACUUACAUCCAAAUUGUCUGUAUUUGGUAUUUCGAAUGUUUUUUCCCCUCUAGGUUAAUAUGCCACUGAUCCUCUGGAAUUAAUGUGAGUUAUUCAAUGAAGUACGCUUCUAUGAUGCGUACAUCAGCUAUAAUCCCACAGAGCACCUUUAAUCCCAUCAGGAAACAAUGGGCAAACUGCUUUGCUUCUAUUUUUAUUUUUUAAAAGAUGCUUUUUAAAAAAAAAAAAAUCUCUACAAAUAUUAAGUACAGAUAUUCCUGGUGACGCUUUGCAUGACAUACACUGGCAUUAUUUUAUAGAUAUAAUAAGUAAAAAUUCAAAAAUAUGAAUUUUCACUCUUAUGGAUGCCUUUAUCUUAAAAGUGUAAUAAAUUCGAUUGGAGUAUUUUUCUAAAAAACGUCUACCUGGCCAUAUUUUAUUACACAUUUCUGAAGGUUGUUAGAUUAGAAACCCUCCAAUAUUGAAAAUGAUCGAUAUUAUUUUAGAAAGAAAAAAUCACUGAUCUGUAUAGAAAUGUUUUGAUGUCUGUGCUGCAUAAACUGUAGAUGUGAUACCACUCCAAAUUCAAAUGAAAGAAAACAAAUUAGUGCAUUAGAGAAGUAUGCGUAAAUGAGGCAGAACUUGUGAUAAAGGGAGAGAAAAGUGUUAUAAAAUUGUGUAAUAGCACAAACAAACUUCAGUUCAAAACUAUGGCUGUUUUAGAAUGCACAUCAUUUCAAAUUAUUCAGGGAUAAUGAGUGUUAAAAGAAUUCCUCUGCUUCCUUUUUUGGACUUCCAUUUCUCUUAAGUGAAGCUUGCGAGUUAGGCUUCCCUUAAUUGCUUUCCUGAAUCCUUAUUUUGCAGAACAGCAGUAACCUUCAUUUAGACGACUUGCCAUCUUAUUUUACAGCUAUGGUGACAGAUAUGAUGUAUUUGUCUAUCUCCUUGAAGAAGGAUAAUAUACAGUGAGCGAGGCUGAGCUGCAGUUGUGUAAAUGAGAUGCACUUUUAACCCUCGAAGUGCAGCAGUUAUCCCAGUUACGAGACAGGCAGAAGCAGAGAUGAAACUCAGCUGUCUUUGCAUUUUUAUGAAUAAAAAGUGAGAAAGGGAUAGGCACAAAGAGUAACGGAAAAGGAGAACCGUAUUUUUAUAUUAAAAAUACAAUAAUAAAUAAGGUGCUGAAAAUGGUGUCUCCGAGAAAGGGCAAAAAGUCAUUGGGAGAUCCCAUUAAAUGCAAGAAAAACACUGCCAGCUAAGCUAUUCGUACAUGUGAGCCUAAGCCUUUCUUAAAACAGCGGUCUGUCUUUUAUAUUACACUGGCAUCAGAAGUUGUUGAAUGCACUAUCACUUAUAAUCUCUUAACGUUUCUCAUCUGUGCAUGUCUGCUAAAAAUAAACACUAUCACAGACGUCAUUAUUUCAAAAUAAAAAUGCAAAGUUUUUAGUGGGAUACUGCGGCUAUCUGUUGCUAAGGCUGUACUCCAGAAGUUACGCUUACUUUUACUUUCCGAGCACUCAAGAUUUAUGAACACACAUCGACAGCCCAUACACAGCAGACACAAAAGUUAUUAGAAGAAGAGUUCAGAAUUCCUAGGUAUGAUUUUACCAACAUAAAACUUUGUGGGAAAGCUGCUGCUCAAAUAUCUCGUCAGAUACAUCCUGAUAAUCUCUAGUAUGUUUUUACUGUAAUUCCCGAAAAAUAAAUAUUAAAAACGUUUUGUGGUUUCACACUAUUAAAAAAAAAAAUAGAAACUGGUAAGUGCAGACCAUAAAACAUGUAUCUGGCUUACAAAGGAACUGUUUAUUCUCCUCAGAAUGCCAGUGGUGAGCAUUUUCGUGAGAUUUGAGGCCGGAUAAAAAUGUGCAGCAGAGGUUCCCUAAAUAUGUCACUGCAGUGCAUUCACGAUGUGGCUCAGCCAGCCGUUCGGAGACCCACAUGCCACUCUGUGCUUUCUAGACUUAGCUAAUAUUGUGCAUUUUAAUAGAGCAGAUGUAAUCACAUCUACUGCGUUGUGUCUGGAGUGUCAUGUCUGAAAACAAUGAGAUGGGUUUUAAUAUACUUUAUAAUAUACAGGGGGAAAGCAUGUCCUGCUAAAUGCAGGAUACCCUGUUCUUUGUAAUUCUUGCUUGUAGCAAUUGUAUCAGGCAGAGUGCACGCAGCUCUUGGGAUGGCUGCGUUACAAGCCUACUGUAAGUAAGUCUGUCUGUCACUGUCAUUACCACAGCAGAUCACUUCAAUACUAUAUUUUUAGAAGUCAGUGAGUUUAUGUAAGAGGGAAAUGCAUCUUAAAAAAAACCUCUGUGGCUGUGAAGACCUCUUCUAUUUUUUGGAGGAACUCGCAUUUCAAAGCAGUAGGUUUGAGAGCAGCCACUAAGUGUGUGUGUGUGGGGGGGGGGGGGGGGGUGAGGAUCUGCGAGUUGCAAGGAAUAGGAACACACAUCUACUGUUUUUCCAUCUCGCUUUUUCUAUCACCUCACAAUCAAUACUUAGCGGAAUAAGACAUCAGUAUCUUUUCUUCCUCAGGAAUACUUUUUAAAGUGUUAGAAACAGCGUGGUAUUGACUUUUCCAGUGAGCUGAAACUGUCCGGCUGCGUUAAAAGUAUAUCAGGGGAGCAUCGAUAGCAUAAGCAAAAUAAAUAUUAAAUCAGGGGGACAACUACAACUUUCCUUAAGUAGCCAUGUAAUCCCUUUUUCCCUUUUUUCUGAUGGUAACGUGCUUUCCACAAAGAAGACUUCACGAGGUUGAAUCCUGCAGUCCUUUUUUUUCUUUUCUUUUUUUUUUUUUACGAAGGGCAAAGCAAAUGCUCCACAACGCUUUUUGUUAGGAAAGCACUUAAAAAAAUUUGAAUAUACCAAUAACAGAAAAAGUAUAUAUAUUUUUACUGCAACCAGGAGAUCUCAUUGGUUGAGUGAAAUGGCGAGAUGUGACGCAAAAGGACACUUGGACGGGUAGAAAUGCUGAUGUAUGCCAAAGCAGGCGUACCAAGAAAUGCUGUUGCUAUGAGAGAAACAGAGGGAGAGGGAGAUCGUGAGAGAGCAAGUUGUGGAGGCCUUCUUUUCUCCCUUUUGGCUCGCGUCACAGACUGCUACAUCUCAUUCCUAGCAGGGAGGGUUCAGCAGUCCUCGGUGGGCAUUUUCCUCGGACCCAGCAUCCAGAGGAAGGGAAGGGAGGGUUUAGCAGGUCACCUCGGAAUGCGAGAGCAAUGGGAAAGCAGGAGGGUGUAUGUGCUACACCAGCGAUCUGCGCUACGAUAGACACACAAAUUAGUACAGCAGAUGAAGCAGCUUAGCUCGUUAUCCACCUGUAUUAAGGCUCGCAACUUACAAGUUACAGAAUUAAAAUGCACGGACGCACAGAGACACAGACAGAUGUAUAGUUACAAUGCCCCCACCUUUCGGCUCAUGAAUUAUCCAGCUGGGAUAGCGCUGCCUCUUGUGUGACAUUCUUACAGAGCUGCAAUGAAUUCACCUUGUGAGUCCAUCAGCCGGAGAAGGAGGAGAAUCAUUUGCAGGACAUUUAUUUUUUUUUGCCUUUCUUCUUCGGCAAGGGGGGAAAAAAAGUUUGCGCUAUGAACUUAGCCUAGCAGCUUCUGGAACCGGAGCCAAAAGGGGCAGGAAGUUGUUUUACAAUAGCGUUACAGUGAUCUGCCACAAAUGGAAAAAGCCAAAUGUUGGACUCCGCAAAGAGAAAAAAUAUUCUUCUCUCCCUCGCCUCCAUUCUCCUGCCCCUUCAGAGGGAAAAAAAAAAAAAAAAAGUAGGAAAAGGAAGGUUUGCUAGAAGCCCUUUUCAUUUUUAAUUACUUUUGGUAAGUAAUGGAAAGAUUAUCUUACUUGCAUAUUCCAUGGCAAGCACAAGGGGAAGAAGUAUCAAAGGGACGUUUGAAAAAAACGCACUCAGUAACUAGCAACGGGACUUUUGGCACAAUUCCUCGAGUUUGCUUGAGGUUAUGGAGGGGGAUGGGAAGGAGAGGAGCGAGUCUACGCAGUACAUUUUCCUUAAAAAGGGGAGGAGGAACGGAGGCAAAACUGCAUAAAACUUUUUUUUUUUUCUUUCCCUUAAGGAAACGUGCAUUGCUCUUCUGAAGCUGAAUCCUCAGGCAUUCGUGGCCCGUCUCUGCAGCCCGAUGUGUUUUUUGUGCGUGUGUGUAAGCGCUCUCAAUCAAACAGAAAUCAUGGCAGCUGUUUUUCUUCCAGCACAGCAGUUGAGCUGUCUCGCCCAAAUGCUUAUCAGCUUUUGACUCCGUGCCAAGAUAGUUAUAAGGGCCAAGCAGCCUGCGCUUGGCUGUGCAGCUGGUGGAGGAGCGAGGGCAUGAGAAAACAGAAUCACCCAGCUUUUUUUGUCACACACACCAUCUACUUUUUUUUUUUUUCUUUUCCAAUCCCCGUUUUCAGCCCCGUGGGUCCUUCCGAGCAGCUUUUUCGCGGUCCCCGCAGCGCUUUCCUACAGGGCCGCAUCGAGAUAGGAGUCCAGCGCUCCUCGUUCUAAUCCCGGAAGAUAUUUCCAGAGGACCUUCCUUUCCUUUCCCUCCCACUCCCCCCCCUCCCGCCCCCAAUUAAAAGCUCCAUCAGCCGGCCCCGCUGCCUCUCCUCACGGCUGCUCUGUCCUCCGCGGCCCGCACGGUCCCGGGCCCUCGCUGCGGUGCGCUGUGCGCGGCCGUUCGGCAGUGCCGUGCCGCGCCGCCCUCCCAUCGCCAGCCCAGGCCCUGCGCCGCGCCAACGCGGCCUCCUCCGCCUCUCGGCUCCAGUCGCUGCGAGGGGGAGGCCGGACUCUGGAACGAGGCUGCUGCCGCCGCUUGCAUUCCUGCUGCAAGGGCCUCCCCUUCAGACGGCCUUUGCCAGAGCAGAACUUUUAAAAACGCUGUACAUAGGCGCUGCUGCUUUUUCUCCUCUUCGUCUCUCUCUCUCUCUCUCUUUCUCUCUUUACUUAACCCUCCUUUCACUGCUGAAGAACGGAUUAAUUUUCCGUCUCUUCUGCGCUUGGCUCGGCCGUACUGUAUAUCGUUGCAUUGAGGUUAAAACUCCCGAGUAUUUUCCCCUCCGCUGAUCCUUUUCUCUCCCUCUCUCUCCUCUCUCUCUUUUUUUCCUCGGUUAAGGGGAAUUGAUUUCUUUGGCCGAGCUAGUUUGUAUGCUGUGAGAACGAGGGCUUUUAUUUGUCACGUCCCCCCCCCCGCCCCCUCUCCCAGUACCGGCACACCGCGCAGCUCACGGAACGGCCGCUCGCCCUGCCUGCCUCUCUACUACAGCUCCGUUCCCGUGGCUGUAGGUGUCCGUGCCGCACGGAGCGGGGCUCCGGUUCCCCCCCCCCGCCUCCCCGAGCACUCUGCGAUGGCCGACACGGGGGUGUGCGGCGAGCGGGGGCCGUCUGCUCCCCGCGGCGGAGGGGAGAGGGAUGUGUAGCAAAACGCUGCCUCUGGGACAGGUGCCAGCUCCCAGACAAAAGGAGUGGAAUAGGCUGUAAAGAGGGAGGGCGGGGGGGGGGGGGGGGGGGGGGAAUUAAUAGCCGGCAAAAAAUAGGAGCCGCGAGCCUCGGGAGGAGCCCUGGCGGGAGCGCGCUGCCUUGCCGGCCUCUUCGCCGGGUAUUCCCGAGCUGCAGGGCGGAAGGAGAAAGUUGUGGCAUACUUUUUAUUCCUGUCUUCUCUUCAGACGUUGGAAAGCGUGAAGGGAGGGUGGAGGGCGCCUUUUUUUUUUUUCUUCUUCUUCACCCUCCUCUUACUGAAUUAUUCAUAGUGUCAGCGGUGAAGCCAGGACUAUUAGCAUGCAUCAGACAUGCUGUUUGUCUGUUUGCUAACAUUCUUCAUUCAAGACUUGUUAACUACCAGACAAGCUUAACAUGCUUCUCUCUUUCUCCUCCCCUUCUCUCUCCCUCUCUCUCCCUCCCCUCUCCCUUCCCUUCCCCUCCAUGCCACCCCUCGCAGCCUCCCAUUGUUGUCGCUGGGAGCUGGCAGCAGCUGUGGCAGGGGGAGCGUGCGGAGGAGCCGCCAGCCGCCCGCUAGUGUCUCAGCCUGGAUGUAGCCCAGAUUUGUGAAAUGCACAGCAGUAGAAUUUGAGUUUUCAAGUGAAAUAACUCUUCCUUGUCUGAACCGUCCUUCAAAAUGCGGGAUUAGAAGUUUCCUACCACAUCAUCUUCAGGACUCCCAGAAAAUUCUUCUGCAGCUUGUGGCUGCCCGGAAAAGGAUGUUGUAGUAGUCUGGCAAAAUGAACUCAAGAUGCACAAGAAGAACAUACUAGAGACUGAUCUGCAAGGUGUUCAGGUUCACUGAUAAGAUGCAAACCAGAAUCUGCCUGUUGGUUAUCUAUCCAGACAUGUUUCAGAGCUAAUAAGGGAGACUGACGAGUACCAUGACUUCAAACAGAAGCAUUUUGAGAAAUGACCUAGGGGGAGCCAAGUUACAAGAUGAACUCUAACCAAGUUAGAAGAGGAAAUAAGUGAAGAUUGGUCAUGUAUGCAAAGAAAAUGACAAGGUUUUGUCUCCCGUGGAUGCUGGCUUCACCCCAUUUUUCCCAUUGGGAUCUGCCAAACUUCAUUUCUGCCCUUGAGAGCUAGGAAGCACAGCCCAGGGUGAGAUGCUGCUGCUGCUCCCACAGCUGUCCAUGUCACGCCCGGCAGCCAUCUUAGGCUGGACAGAAAGCCCUGGCCAGCACAGCAAAUCAGCUGGUUAGGGGUACCCCCUGGGCUGAGGUGUGAUGGGAUAACAACAACGGAAAGAGAAAUCUGGUGCUGUGAAUGGCCCUCUGAGAAAAUGUACGGAGAAGCUUGUGUCUGCUUUUUCACUUGCUGUCACUCACCUUACAACUGUUUCAGUGUGCACUAAAAUGAAGUUGAAACAUGCGUGUUUUCUUUUUCGGCAUCCCCAUAGUGAUUAUGCUAUGAGCAGUGGAAGAUCCCAUCGGUUGCUCUGAAACGUGACCUACCUACUUUGAGGUGAGAUCUGUUUUGUUGUAAAGCAUGGCUUUAGUUUUUCUGUGUGUAUCAUGGAUUCUUGUCUUUAAUUUGCAGUUAACAACAACAAAAAAAAAGUUUUCCUUAGUGAAGAGAAGGCUCCGGGGAGACCUCAUAGUGUCCUUCCAAUACUUGAAGGGAGUACCCCUGUUUACAGGGGUAGAUAGUGAUAGGGCAAGGGGAAAUGGUCUUAAACUGAGACAGGGGAGGUUUAGGUUAGAUAUUAGGAGGAAGUGUUUCACACAGAGGGUGGUGAUGCACUGGAACAGGUUGUCCAAGGAGGCUGUGGAUUCCCCAUCCCUGGAAGCAUUCAAGCCUGGUCUGGUGGCUGGCGACCCUGCAUAUAGCAGGGGGGGUGAAACUAGAUGAUCUUUGAGGUCCUUUUCAACCUAGGCCAUUCUAUGAUUCAGUGAUUCUAAGUUAGCUUAUUAAGUUGGAGUAUUUGUUUGAAAUUUUAUUUGUUUAUAUUACAGGUAUGGACUGAUAUCAUAGUUUUUGUCACUUAUUUGGAUUUUCCCUGAGUGCGAUGUGUUGCAGUCCAUCAGACCAGGUGGUGGGGAGUGAGAGCACCCUCAACCUCUAGUGUUGGUGUGAGGUUACAGUACACUAGUGGCAAUUUUGCUAGUCAUAUUAACCAACGUCUGUGUAGUACAGUAGAGUACAUUUAGUUUAGCCAUUGAUUCAGUUGUGAGGUACUGUCCUUUAGAAGUAGCAUGUUGCUUAAGUAAGCCAUAACACUUUCUGACAGUCACCAAAUUCUUGGUUCAGUCUUAUAGAUUUACCCAUGCAGAACUUGGGAAAGUCAGUAAGAGCAACUGAGCUGUUCCGCACUAGGAUAAGAGAGGAAUACCUAGAAGGCAAUGCAGAACAAAUCCCUCUAAUUCAGCAUUUAUUCUCUAAGUCACUGUGAUGCCUUUCUUGAAGUGACAAAACUGGUUUGUUAAGAUGCAGUCGUGUCAGAGCUGGAAGUACAAAAGUGCAUUUAUUAAAAAUGAAUUCUGUAUCCUCUUCCCUCUUGUGUAUCUUGUCACUGACAUGACUCCACACAUUGCAAAUAUGUGAAACUUUUAAAACAUGAAACUAGAGCUCAUUAAGCAAAAUGUCAACUGGUGUAUAGCAAACUCUUUCAGAAUGAAGACUGAUAAUAUUUGUCUCCAGAGUUUUUUGUCUUCUAGGUCAUCACCAAGCCAUCCAGCUUUCUGGGAAUAUAGUUUGUGGUUUCUGUGAUCGGAGUCUGACUGUCCUUUGGGGUGAGGUAGUAGGUUGUAUAGUUUUAGGGUUAUGCCCUGCCUGUCAGAUAACUAUACAAUCUACUGUCUUUCCUGAAGUGGCUGUGAUAUCAUCGCUGGAUAUGCCUUCAAAAUGCAAAGCAAAUAUAUUUCAACUGUAACAUUCUCUGGCUCUGUCUUACGUGUUGGUUUUGAUUCUUACAAAAGAAAUGUUCUCAGAGUGUUUCAAUUCCUCUAUCGUUUGGAUUGGAAAGCGAUUUCCUUUUUUUCAUCUUCUCCGAGAAAGCGGGGUGUGAGAGGGCCCAGAGGUACAACCUAUGCUUAUGCUCAACUUUCUCCAUCUGCCAGUGUGCUCUCAAGAGUGGCCAUUUGGAAAAAGGUGAUCCAUUUCUUCAUUGCUUUGUGGCAUUCGUGUUAUACCAAUGGCAAGUGCCACUUCUUCAGCAGUUAUGUAAAUCCACCUAGCGUAAUUUGUUUGAGGAAACUAACAAGUGAUGACUUGGAUAGUAAUACAAAGAGGAUGUCUCAUUUUCUGCCCUGGAACCAGUAAAUGCUUGACCCCUAAGUGAAGAGAUUUUUUUUAGUCAGUUUUUGAAUUGUGACUUAAUAUAUGUUUUAUUACAUAAUGCAAAUUUGGGAAGGAGAGUGCUUUCCACUGCAGUUGUUCUGCCUGUAGAGUCACCCCACCAAUUCUGAUGGACUUCCAGGAAGAAAUCUGAGGAAGGGCUGACAGGACGUAAUGAUGCCCUUUUUGAAAGUAAGAAAUGUGGGCUAGAAAGUGUGUAGGGAAUCUUACUUAUGGUAGGUGAAAUGUUAGUUUGCUUCAGAAGAUCCGCCUGAUGCUCUAACAGGAUGAGGUAGUAGGUUGUGUGGUUUCAGGGUAGUGAUUUUGCCCCAAUCAGGAGAUAACUAUACAACCUACUGCCUUCCCUGAUAGGCAGCGUAACAUCAGUGUCUUAAUUCACAGAAAACCAAGGGCUAAAAUAGACAUUUGUGACCAGCAAAGUAAGUCUACAUUCAAUUCUUGUUACCCUGUCCCUAAUACCUCUAACUUCAGUGUCUGGCAUUAUUUUUAAUAACUGCCUACAAAAUAAUUAUCUCUUUUAAAGUCUCUAUAGGGAAAAAUUUGAAUUAAAAAAAGUUUUGCUAUUCAAAAGUUUGUCUGUUCUUGAUUUGUUUUGUUUCUGGUUCAUUUCAGAGGAAUGAAAUUUUCAGGGAAAUGAUUCCAAAAAUGCUGUGGACUUGCAUUCAAGCUGUUCAUAUUUCCUGGGCAUUUUAGCUCGAAUGCAACAAAUUUUACUAGCAGUGCACUGUUUUUGUUCAGCCCUCUGUCCCUCUCAGGAAUCUUCCUGUCUUUUACAAAUAAUUGUCACGCAACGCUCUCCAGCGGAUCAAUUUUAUAAUGCAAAUAAAAAGCUGUGGUGAUGAAAAUCAGGGGCCGGAUUGAAAAGACAAAGACAGACAUUGAUUUUGUAUCAGCACUUGCUCAUAAGCAGUCUCAUUUCAUGGCGUUUAAACAGUCCUGAAAGUGAAUUUGCUGACUAUCUAAAAGGCACAGAUUGUACCUGGAAAAUCAUGGCCAGGGAAUGUUAGUUGAGUCCAUUAAAGACAUUCUGAAAUACAAACUAUAGUCUUAAUGCAAGAGGAAAAAAAGAAAGAAAAAAAAAAGAGAAAAACCACCCCAACUGUGGAAAUCAUUCUUCUACAUGCAAAACAUUUCGGGAAAUGAGAAUGAUGUAAAACUGAAGGAUAACUUAAUUUCAGAGGUUUCAAGCUGGUUACAUAGAGUCAUUUGUGUGUAUUUUAAUUAUACAGCAUCUGAUUACUGUAAAAUGGAAUAUAAAUUUAAGGUUGUCAUAUGUGUAGCUAGGCAAGCCCAGACAUCCAUGGUUAGAGCAAAUAAACUGAUACUACAUUCAGCAGCAGAACUGGGUAUUUCAUUGCUUCUCUUGUCCAAAAAUAUGGCACGUAUCUGGACGCUGAGGGUUUUUGAGGUCAAUGAAUGCUUCAAAACAAGGCCAUUUGUUAAUACCUUUGUUAAACAGUUAGGAAUGUUAUUUAACUUGUGUUCAUAGAGAUAAAGGCAGCUGGUAGAAGAAGAAAAAUUACUCUGUGUCUGAAAAACUCAGGAGAGUAGGCGAUAAUGUGGCUGGUUUUAAUCUUCUCACUGUUUAAAGAGGGUCUCUUAAAAAAAAAGAUAAAACUGCUGUAAGGAUAGUUGCCAUGCUGGCCAUGUUCAAUGGCUCUCGGUCAUGCAUUGCGAAUCCUGAACUCUUUCUUCUGCUGGAAAUGCAGGCCCACAGCUGCAGCAGAAACAUCUUAGAGGACUGUGAGUAGUGAUUGCGCUGUGUGAAGCUUAAAACAUGCUGCUCCUCUCCAAGAUGCAAAACUGGCUGGAAAUUUCUUGCUUAGUUUUACAUUCAGUACAUACGUAGCAAAUGUUCCAUACCGGUGAAAGGCGUAAGAAGAGGGAAAAUGUUCUCCACAUUCUACCACAGCCUGUUAGAUCUCAUCCCUGAAGUCAUUUUAAAGUCUUCUGGCUCUGUCUGGAUCAGCGUUGUGUUCUUGGUAAUGAGCUGUGAGUUUUCAGAUUCUGGUCAUCCUGGCAAUCCUAUUAAAACAAAGGGCCAAAAAAAAAAAUCCAUGGUGUUUGCUUCACUAGGUUCUACAUGUGCCUGUACUUAGCAGUGUGUGAGCCUGCAGUUAAUCAGGUCUGUCCCUAGCAGUAGGUGUCAUUACAGCUAAUGGGAACUGCAACAGAAACUUGAAAGCACAGCUCCAUGGUGCCAGAUGUUUUUCAGAAUUGUAUACAGAAAAUGCUUGUGUCAAAACAGAAGUAGUAGCUUCAGCUGGAAUUCUUAUUAAAAGCAAGGGUGUUUUUUUAAACACAAGACAGUAUUAGUUCUUUCUGAGGUCAUGCACUGCUCUGUGGCACUCAUUAGGUGAAAGCAUGCAAUCAUAAGCUACGUAACAUGCGAUUUUAAAACCUAUGUGUGCUUAAGUUUGUUAUUUUGGGUUUUUUUUUAGUGUAACAGCACUAACUGAUGAGCAGAAGCUGAGUAUCUCCUGCUGGAACGAAGCCUGUACACUUGGUUAUAGCAGACCAGGUGAAAAUCAGUGCACGCAGGACUUUCGGUGAGGCCAGGAUUUUCAUAGAAUCAUAGAAUGAAUCAUAGAAUGGCCUGGGUUGAAAAGGGCCACAAUGGCCAUCUGGUUUUAGCCCCUCAGCUAUGUGCAGGGUCACCAGCCACUAGACCAGGCCUCCCAGAGCCACGUCCAGCCUGGCUUGGACUGCAUCCAGGGACGGGUAUCCACAACAUCCUUGGGCAGGUGGUGUUAGUUCUCCUUUUCUGCCUUGGAGAGGGUGUGUUUUUCCUGAGACAAGAUCAGUCACACAGACAAUAAAACCAUCAAUCAAAUUUCUGCCUUGAAGGCUACUGCUCACAGGUUUUAUAUUUCUGCCUCAUGGAUGUGUGGAACAUUACACAUCUUCUAUGAGCCCUUUCAACGUGUGCUGUGUUUUUCAGUUUUACUUUAACAUGCAAAUCUCCCUAUUCUCCUAAAACAAGUGCCCAACACGAAAUUUUUGUCUCAAUUUGAUAAAAGACUAAAAGAGAUGAAAAUGUUUUCAGACCAGCUGGAUAACUCUGGCAAAAGUGUGUGCUGCUAGCUGCAAAAACUUGCACUGCUGCUGUGCAUGGGUGCCACGAGGUGCGCGCUGCGAGGCUGUACCCUUGGGGCUGCCCUGAGAGGGCAAAAGCCUUGAAGACAGAAGUAGUUCCUGAGAUCUUCCCUGAAAGGGUGAAUUACAAAGGAGAUUUAUAUAGGGAGUGGAUGCAGAAAUGCAGUAAGACCAUAGCGGGUAUGCCAGCCGGUGUUACAGAUUCAGCAUGACAUACCGAAUUGCUAUACAGGAGUCAGAGAGAGCUGGUGAAAAAUGCCCGCCUUCCUUAUGCUUGCAGAGCUUCCCCACCUGCUCCUAGGACUGUGCUUCAAACAGGGGACAAGUAUUAAAUGAGAACUAAAUUUCUAGGAGUCAUCUGUGAUAAUACACACCGUUCUGAGAACUGAAGGUCUGAAUGUAUCUUAAUUACCGUGAGUGUGACUGUGCACAGCAGUUACCUUAGAGAUGUCACAGCAAAAAGCUGUUUGGGCUUGGAGAUUUUCUGUAACUAAUGCUAUACAGUUCUCAGAAUAUAAAUACAUGCUAAUUAUGGGAAUAAUGGUAGUAAAGAUUACUAAAGGAAUCAUUUCUGUUGUGGAAUACAUAAGCAAAUCAAAGGUGGGAAAGUGUGGGAGGGACAAAAGCCAAGUAUCACCAGCUCUAUCUGGCAGAGAGGGGCGGUGUUGCACAGCCUCCAGUCAUGGCCAUGAGCUCCUGGUUGCACUCAAACACACUGUCCUUUGCAGUGCUUGAGCCCAUGGGAGGGCCCAGGUCCGUAGCUGUGCUGGCAUGGCUCUGAUGAGCGUGGCUCUAAGUGAUCUGAGGGGGUACCCAGCUAACAGCUUGAAGUAGAAAAACUGAGGGAUAGGAGAUGUGAAGAUACCUACAGGGAUCUAGGGCUGAGUGACUUAGAUGUCCAGAUCAUAGAUGAAAAAUCAGUGCUAGCACUGCUAAAAAGGCAAGACAAAGGCAUCAAAUAAACUAGGCCAAAUGUCCCUCUGAUUGUCAACUAGAUCUGUGUUCCUAAGUUACUUUGGCACUUUUGUUUAACAGUUAUGAUUGCCAGUUGUGCUCAGUAUUUGAUCAUAGGAAGGCUUUUGUCUGGUUGUGGAACACUGCUCAAGCACUGUCUCCGGCACAAAUCAAAACCAGAUGAGUCACCAGGUUAAGAGACAACCAAGUUGUAACCACGUUGCCUGAUGUGGCUUAUUUUUGUGUUCCAGCCAGGGCCUGAAGCUCUUACUAGAGAUUUUCCCUGUCCAGCUUGCAUAUUCAAACGUAAGCAAUCAUAGUUCCAUCCUUGGGGAGCCCAAGUGGGUUUUCCCAAUGCAUACAAAGGCAUUAGCCUGUUAAAAAGGUCUCUCAAUCAACUGAAAGUGUGCAGCAGUUUGCAUAUUAGUGCGUGUUUUUAAUUAACACUUGGAAGAGAGAAAUACUUGAUGCACUUAAAAGUGACACAAAUAAAAGCACCUUUCAUAUAUUCUCAUUGUAAACAUCUAAAGUGAAAAUAAAGUAAUUUCUGAUCUCAUGGAAGGCAGUUGGUAUUUACAGAUUUAUUUAUAGAUUUAUAUAGGUAUUUAGUUAUAGAUUUAUACAGGUAUUUAUAGAUCAUUCCAAAAGUAAGGCCUCCUAUUUAUUUCCAUGGAUAGAACAAUAGAACUGUUUGAUAAGAGCAAAUUCUCAGCUACAAAACACUAUCUUUCAAUAUAGUCAUAACCAUUAGCUAUGCAUUUUCAUCAGCGAUGAACAAGAGCCUUUAUGUUGUGUUCAUAAAAACCUCCACCAGUGGAGGUGACCCACUGUUUCACAGCUGCUGUGAAGGUGUUGUAGCUAGGAAAAUGUUGCCCAUGCAAUCCAUCUUUCAUCAGAGCAAACAGAUGGAAUUCAGAAGGUACCAAAUCUGGACUGUGCUGUGAGCAUGGUAGGACAGCCUAGGCACGACUGGCAGUGUGCUGCACAGUCUUCCAACUGGGGUUAUAGUCUUAACAGUGUUGCAAGAUAAAGAUCGUUUUCUCUGGCCUGACUUUGGAAAUUCAGGCCUUCAGCUUAGUCAGCGUCACAGUGUAGGAGGCAGUGUUGAUGGUGGGUCAGUGUUCCAGGAAAUCCAGAAGGAUCACCCGUUUCCUAUCCCAGAUAGUGUACAUCACUUUGCCCGCUGAGGGCUGCAUCUUGACCUUUUUCUUUGAUGGGGGAUUUGCAUGUCACCAAUCCGUAGAAUGCUGUUUUGACUACUGUUAGCACUAUGUCCUGUCACCAGUGAGGAUGCAAUCCAGGCAACUGUCACCUUUGGCGGUGUGUUGGUUCAAUGGGUCCUGAAAAACUUGCAUACGGUGUUAUUUCUGUUCCUGUCUGAGUAUUUGUGGGACUCACCUGGCUCAAACUUUGCAGUGUUCCAACAUUGCCACCAUUGUUUCCUACACAUUAAAGUUGAUAUUCAGCUCCAUACACAGUUCCCUGAUCAUAAUCUGCCAAUGGACCUGGAUGAGCUGAUGGAAAUGCUCUUCAUUUCGUGGUGUGACAGAUAUGCAUGGCCAUCCAGAAUGUGCCUUUCUUUCAUGUCACUGUCACCACUGCUGAAAUGCACCACCCACCGCCUCAAUGUGCUCAUACUCACCGUUUGGUCUCCAGAAACAUUCACCAAGUGUCAGUGAAUGUCAAUGGGUGCCAUUUUUCUACAUGGAGGAAUACAAUGACACACCUUUGCUUCAGAUGUACUUCCAUGUCAGAUGCCAUUAUGGCUGACUACUCCUCUGCUGUCAUCUGUCACAUGGUAACAAAAUGUAAUGGAAUACUGGCAGGAAGGUUCAACCUCUACUGCCGAACCACCAACAUCCACCACUGAUUUCAUGGUCCAACAUAAUAGAAGGGGAGGCAUUACUGUUGGAACAGCUCUGGUAGCUUUUGUGAAAACUGGCAGCUUAAUCUUUUUUCUGUCACACACCUGGACAGGUUUUUCAACCAUCUCAAUUUUGCUGAUGAAAACAUUUCACUUCUUGUGAGACUGUGGAGAGCAAACCCUGGCUUGCUGCACCCCAUGGCCUGGAAGCUCCAGGCCCAUCUCAGCCGUCACAGCCUCUUCUGAGCAGGUGACUCCCAAGUGGCCAUUACACGCUUAUCUCUCUGGAUUUAACCUGAACUUGGUACCUUCUACAUCUGCUAAAAAGCUGCCCUAUGAGCUUGACCAAUGGGGUUCCAGCAACCACUACUUGAAAAUCAGUUUGGAAUCCCAUAGGUCCUAUUCUUAUUUAGCCUUGGCUUGCUGUUGCAUCACAGUGACCUCCACUGUGGCUAGAAAUGCGAGACAUAGACUAAUAAUUUCUUUCUCUCCUGAAGUUUCAACAUGUCCAAAACCUUUGGUUAUAUUUUCUUUUCUUUUUUUUUUUUUUUUACCAUUUUACCACAAGUAAAAUACAGUGAUUGAUGGCCCAGAGUUUAGUGAUUUAACUUUUGUUUCUUCAGAAAAUCUCACUGACAUUUUGAAGUUCGAAUGGACAAAUUAGUUUCCACUUCAUUCCCCUUUGCAUUUCAUUAGCUUUCCCAAAACUUAAGAAAUUUUCAGGCCUUCCGUUGUAGCAAAAUGAGAACUUUAAAAUUCAUUAAGCCUUAGAUAUUCAGUAUGCUGUACCAAGUGACAGAAAAGGAAAUAAGAAAAGUGAUCAUUCCCAAGUUUCAUUAAAAUUUGUGCAGAAAGAGAAUAUCCUUCAGAAGUGUUCCACGCUUGAAAGAAGAUUUUCCAUAUUAAAGCAAAGGAGAAUGUGUUACCCAGUGUAUGGCGCUGUGUCUGUCACUCAAGCUAGUCCAAGUUUCUAAUGAUUGAGCUGUGUGUGUUACUUUGAGUAAGUGAACGCAAAAUAAGGAACAGUUGUUUCUAAUGUGAAGCUAAAACAGCUACAGAAAGUACCCUCAACUGGAAAUCGUGUGUUCCUGUGUUCAGCUCCUUGAACUCUGCCAAAUAUGUGCAGCUGGAAGAAAAGAAGUGGUUUGACUGUCCGUGAGCCAAAACACAUGGUGGUUAGUUUGUGCGGGUGAUGCCAAGUGGAGGUAAGCAUGUUGGAGCACAUGAAGGGAACAGGGCAGGAGCUGGUUUCGGCCUGCUGUUGCACACUGAGCACAGCGCUCCGGCGUCAAGCAGCAGCAGGCCUCAUUCAGCAGCCUCUUUCCACCAAAGUAAGCAAUGGGACGAGGUGCACAUUUUCCCAAUAUUUGAAACGUUCUUUGGUCCUGCUUAGCUGCACACUGUGCUUUCUGUCACAAAAAAAUAAUAAAAACACUCCGAAUGUGGUGGUCGUUACUGCAAUCCCAAUGCAAUCUAACUUCACUCGCCUCAUGAGGUCUCUCCUCCGAUCGUAGUGAAUUUGUGAGGGAUCAGCAGAGGGAGAGGACCCUCAGAAGGGAGGAGAAGGCUGGCAGUGCUGUGCUGUUACUGAUGUGGGAGAAGCAGCACAGGGAGCUGAGUUUGCAGUUUGAUCCCUGUCCCUAAAUACUACUGGAAGUGGGCAGACCCAGAAGCAAAUUGCUCUCCAGCAAACACCAUUGAGCUGCUGGUGACAAUCCUAAGCAGUGGCCAUCCUGAUAUUGCUUGGUUCUGGGUGGGCCUUGUCCAAGCUUCACAACGCUGAGCACAGCCUCAUAGUACUUGAUGGAAAACACCACUGGUAAGAAAAAUAGAAGGGAACUAUGAGUGAUAAGGAAUGUCCUCUAAUCCCUUUUAGGCUUUUGUUGGAAAUUACAUGGCCGCCUCUUAUGCCUACGACUCUUCCAGGCAUCUACCCAUCCGCAUCCCUCAAACACACCCAUCCUUCUUCCCCUGCCUCCAGCAUGACACCUCUAAUUCACCCCCUUCCCUAAAAUCCAGUUAGCUGUGAUUCUAUUUUAUCUUCUUCGUGAUGAGCCCCAAGCUUUGCAGCAGGAAGGCAGGCUGCAGUAGGUGGGCACGCUCCAGUAACAGGGCUGUCACUGCAGCAGGGCCGAGGGUGGAUGGAGGAUGGAGGAAGAUGGAGACUGCUCUCACCUCAGCCUCCGGUCCUACUUCUCCCAGCCGAAGCUCCACCAUGCUGAUUUACGACUGCUCCUGAAUGCCUUGGAUGGAAUUAUAGCCCCUUGUAUUACAUAGUGCCUUCUCUGUUACUCUUGCUGCACGCCAUAGAUUUACGGUGGCUUUUAAACCAGACAGUGCAUGAAGAAAUACAAUCUUAACAAAACAUAGAAGGGACCAAGGGAGGUCAAAGUGUGGGAGCUGAACACCCUGUGGUGAUCCAGGAUUUCCCUUUAUUUACAGCUCACACCUUUUCAAUUUCAAGUGGAUUUUGGCUGUCUCUGACAGCUCUAACCAAUGGCUGGGGAGGAAUCUGCAGUCAGCUGUGCUGAGAGGCUUUGCCAUUAACAGGUUAACCAUAUCCUGCAUUUUCUGUACUUUUGAUGCUGAAGGAAAAUAAUUUAUGAUAGGCUUUCAUAGAGAAGUGGAGCAAAAGCUGUGCCUGACUUCCUCAAUAUGAUGGUGUGACAAGAAAACUAAUGCUGAAAGACAUCCAGCAGUCCAAAUGUGCACCUGCUCCUGCUAGCUUCCAGAGCAAAUGCUGUCUCCAAUUCUCUGAUAUAUUGCACUGCAAGCUCUUCCUAAAGCACAGGAAGUCAGACCAGAUCAGGCCUUGGAUGCUCCUUGGAAAUUUCACUGGCCGAUCGUCCACAUCUGAAGUACCUUAUCUUUGGAGAUCUGGACUCUAAUGGGGCAUAAGACAGGAAUCAGAACUGAUGGCCAACAAGAAACUGUUCUACCACGUGCAAUGCCUCAAUGUGUUGCCCUAGAAAGCUGAGGCUCAGGUCUUCUCCUGAGAUACAUGGUAUCCUCCAGAAUGGUAUUGAAGGAAUGGUGAGUGAUGUAAUAUUUGAGGAAGGGGAGAUGUGUGUCCUUCUGGAAUCCUCUUGUUCUCCACCUCUGUGUUUUCCAACCAAUUACUUAAUUCCUCAUACUGUGUCCUCACAGUAUGUGCUACAAAUGGUGACAUCAAAACCAAUAUAUUUUGCAAAUGCUAACAUUGCAGCAGGCUUUGCAGAAUAAUGGCUAUAUCAAUCCUUACUUAUAGUGUACUUUGAAUAUAGUGUCAUUAGUAACAGAACAUCUGUCAAAACCUCUCACAGUCUGAACAUGCUACCUCCUAUUUUUUUCAAUAUUAUGAUUGUAUUUCAUCAGUAGAUCCUAUGUAUUUGCUAAGUGGAGUUUCACUCAGUUCAGUCUUUGAUUGUUCAUGACGUGGAGAAGGUGAACAGGGAACAACUGUGUCUUGCCUCAUGUAGCAAGAGACCUAGGGAAUGGCAGGUUCAAAAUGCUCAAAAAGAGAUUUUUCUUCACAAGCUCUUAUGAUUAAGUAGUGGAGAUACUCCUUUCUGUUGAGUACACCAUGGUCCUCCCUGGCAAGGUCAACAGCAGCAGCUUAAAGAGCAGUGUGAGAGAGAGAUGUAUGUAAAUGGCUGCAGCAGGUGUAGCACUCCUGUCUCAGCUCAGGAUGGCUCCUCCAAGGGUUAGAGGCUAAUUUUGAGAAGAGGCUUUUUCAUUUUAAUUUGAAAGUUGUGAAAGGCUUUUGCAUGGUAGGAGCUCUAUCUCAAAAGAGCUUCUUCAGGAAACUCUACGGCACUUGUGUUUGUUUAGGUGCUUUUCCUUUUGAUAUGGUUGUUUUGCAGUAGUGACUUGGCUGGAAAAGAGGGUUUUUGGAGGUGAAUGUGGUGAGGAUAAAUCUCAAAGCUACCGCAAUUUGGGAGGCAUCCCUACUUUGUUUAGGAAAUAGACUUGCAACUAAAGGCCAUCUCGAGUUGACAGCAGACUUUGCGAGGGGUGAAAGUCCCUUGUACAGUGUGCUUCUGUACCUGUAAAAAAUCGGGUGCUUGAUUUACACAAGAGUCAUGAAGAUGUUCCUCUGGUUCUGUACUUUCCAUCAGGAGCCUCUUGUCCUUGCACUUGUUUUGUGCAGUCUAUUACAACAAUUCCAGUGGGACACAUAAUUCAGAUUCUGUAAUAGAAUGAAUGCACAGAGUCAUUGCUUAAACUGUACUGCAGCAGCACUUCUUGCUGCUGCUAUGUACAUUUAAUAACAAAAGGUCAAAAUACUGCAUCAACAUAGAAAGAGUCAUUUGAUCUCUUUAUCUGUAGAACAGGGAUAAUAUUCUUUGCUUAUGUUCCAAGACUUGCUGCAAAUUUGAGGACAGAAAAACUGAAGAUUUUCUUUAGUAUUGCUAAGAUAGAUUGUGAUGACUGUCAGAUACUGGUUAAACUGGAGGGGCUGAGCUUUUUAUUCCUGCUUUUGCUGUAUACCUGACAGUUGGAGGUGAAUGCAGCCUUUUGUUUCCUACACAACAAAAGGUUCAAAUAUAAACCAUGCUACUGAUAAAAUAAGAACAGAAAUUGCGGGUCAGUUCUAAACUUGGAAAAUGCUCGGGGUUUUUUUUGUUUUUGUGCUGGUAAAUCUACAUUCUCAUCAUGUGGAAAAAAACCAGACUCUUAAUACAGCUUUAGUUUUCUACUUUAUAGCUACAAGCAGAAAACAGCCAUGAAUCAAUAACGGGGGCCUGUAAACACUCUUCUGGCUCUAUAGCCUACUUAAUGUCAACCAAGAGCUGCAGUAAACCACAAUUCCCCAGCUGCAAUAAAUGCUACAGGCUCCAGAGCAGAGCACAAAGUUUAAUUAAAAGUAAUCUGAUACAUAUAAAUCCGCUGACGCAAUCUCUCACUCUUGCAUCUGAAAUAUAUAUAAGGCUCUUCCUGGAGACAUUGGAUGAUUUAGACUUCAAUUUCACUUAAGAAGCCUCUCACAUAAUACUAUCCAGUGAGUCUCUGUGCACACAGCAUAAAGACAUCCUGUUAACUAAAUGCAUUGAUCUCCCUUUGCUUUACAUGCCGAGUGUAUCAGCUGUUGAGUUAUUUGGCUAAUUUAAGAGACUUGGCAACAUUUUCCCGUGCUCUAAAUAGCCAGACAUCUCUGAACUUUCAGGAGUAACUACACUUGGCAAUUAAUGGAUAAUGACAACACUGCUGUAAUGUAUUAUCUUUUGGCAAUAAGUAAGCUCAGCAGUUUUGAGGAUGUCUCACUAAUGCUUUAGCAUCAGACAGACUCUGCUCAUGUUAGCUGUGUUUGACAAGAUGUUCUGUUGAUGUUUAAUGAUACACAGCCCCUUGCUGAUUUGCGUCCUGAGUCUGUCCUGGCUCUGCACACAUCGUCCUUCUCUCCUCCCCGUGCACCGUGGCUGCCUUAUGGAAUCACAGUAAAGUCUGGGUCAGACAUCCUCUCUGGAGAUCACCCGGUCCAAACCACAGAAACAGAGACUUAGGUUAGGUCAUCCUGGAUACUGUCCAGCAAAGUCUAGGAUAUUUCCAGUGAGAAAAGUGCACACCUUUGUUAUCUGAGGAUGCAAAAGAGUCCCGUUCGCGCCUCAUGCUAUAGUCCUGGCACUGAUGGUGUCUCUGGACUAACAGUAUAUUCAUGCUAAUUUUUCUGAAACUAGAAAAGGCAGAGGAUGACAACUGCUAUGGGACCUGGGAACAACACUUAAGGCUUAGAUGGCUUUCCUUUCUCAGCACUUUUUCCUCAGAAAAUAAAAGCAUCUAAAAAUAAAUAUUUGUUUUUAAAAUAAAUAAAUAUAUAUAUCUAAAGACACUAAUGAGUCCUGUCAUAAAGUGUAUUAAAGCAGUAUUCUAAAGGCAAAACAGCUUCUCACACAAAAUGACAUACACGUUUCUAAUUAGCUCCCAGAAAAUUAGGGUUCACUCAUGCGAGGGACCAAAUAACAUUACUUUGUAACUCCGAACAAAUAUUAAUCUCUUCCUCUCAUUUUUGUCCGUAGUGCUUUUUGUGGAUUUGUAUCCAUACAGAGUUUUCGCUGGUAUGCCAUCCGUUCGUGCAUUUCUAAACAAAAGCGAGACAUGGAGUCUUCAUGGCCAAAACUUUUCUUGCAUUCUUGCAUCUGUGGCCAAAAUGUAGCUAACUGGAUCCGUAGAGAUAGAUCUUGUAUUCAUGAUUGUUGUGAGAAACCUCCCAGAGCUUAUUGAAUUAGGGAUAUCCCAGUCAGCUAUUGUUAGACUUUAAGAGACGUUUUGCAGUUAGAGGAGGCUUUAAAUAAUAAUAAUAAUAAAAACAGAGUUUCUUUUUAUUAACUGAAGCUCUGUUUACAUCAGUAAGGAUACACAAAUCAAAGCAACAAAAUGUAUGGCCUGCAGUUAAAGGAUUUAGCUUCAAGAAAAGAAAAUGAAACAAACCAGAACAACAACAACAAACAUUGAACAGCAAUUAUUUAUCAAGAUAUAGGCCUUAAACCAAAUUUUGCUUUUUUCAUUGCAUUCAUGGCAGUUGUCUUGUUAUGAGUAGAGUGACGUGGAAGGUAAAGCCAAGGGAAAUGGGUUCAAACUGCAUCAUAAAGAAGUUCAAAUAUUCAAGGAACAGUAAUAUGUUUAAAACACACACACACAAAAGAGAAAGAAACCUGGGGGGAAAAAUUUCUACUUGCUUCUUCUUACAUUUUUUGCUUUUUGGAUUGAUCGAUAGAGUAAAUGUGGUAAAGGCACAGUGAUCUUUUACACAUUUAUUUCAAGUCUGUUGUUGUAACUAACUAGGAGUUCCUGAAGAGCAGAAUGAAGCCUGGAUAUACACUAAUGGAUUGCUAUUUGUAAUUCAUACCCUGAAAUGUAUCCAGCCUGGUGCUAAAACCAAACAUUUAGUAGGCUAAAAGUAAUACAAGCCAAGGUACAUUUGACAGCCAAUAAGAUGACGUUUGUCCAUUUUCUCCUAAAGGAGAGGAAAAUUGUGAACAUGGAAAAUAGAAGCAGGAGGAAGGAAGGACGUAGAGAGUGACUCAACAGGUCAUGAAAAUGUGAGGUUGCAUAUAUGCAACAUGAUCAAGUUGGAAAAAUAAUCUGUUGAGCCAGAAGGACAGCAAGAUGAACUAGUAGUGGAAGAAGUCUGCUAAGUCAGGAGGUAGAAAUCUGAUGCUGGAGGGAGUCUGAAGAUGAGUCUGAUCAAUCCAGUCUGAGUUUCUCAAAAUGUAAAUUAUUCCUGGCCAACAGGACACACUGAGGUGUCCCUGCUCCCUGCCUAUAACAGGGGGUUGGCAGUAGGUCAUCUUAAAAGUCCCUUCCAACCCAAACCAUUCUAUGAUUCUAUGAUUCUGUGAACUGUAUGUACUGGCUUAAAAUAAUUCCACGUGAAACAGCCUCAAGACUGAAAAUUUGCCUAGAGCAGCAUUUGAACUCUCAAAUGUGUGAGGUUCAGCAAGCCAAGUGAGAGCCAGAAGGAUCUCCUGCAGUUCAAUAUUCAACAGAUGUUAAAGCUUUUGUGUUCCCCAUGUGCAAGGAGUCAUGGAAAAAAGAGUCAAGGGAGAAGAAAUUUUAGAAGCAUCGUUCCUGACUUGCAGGUGUAAAUGUCCACUGAACAUUGAAGUAAAUAGGGAAGAAAUGGCAAAGAGAGGAAUAAGAAAGAAACAUGGAAGCUGAAAAUGACAGCGUUUCAGUACUGUUAAAGCUGUCAGUAUGUAUAUGAAGAUGAUGAAGAAAUGUAAUACUGGUUUAAUAUAACACAUCAUAUUGAAAUAAAGAGAAUCCGAAGAGAGGCUGGCAGAAGGUCUGACAGGGUCAUCAGAGAGCUCUGAGGCAUGACAUGGGCAGAGACAUCAAAAACAUAAACUGGGGGCUUCACCUUCCAAACUCUGGGAAAUCGUGUUUGUUUGCUAGUCUUAGAGCUGAGAUUCUGGGAUGUACACGCAAGGCUCCCUAGCAAAGACAGAAAGUGAGACACCUGAAAUUCUCUGAAAUUUUAAUGAAGCAAAUCAGUAGGAGUAACAGAAAUGAGAAAGAAAAGCACUGAUGCUCUAGUGCUCAUGACUUACAAACCCCCAAAAUGAACAUCUCAACGUCUUCCUUCCUUGCUUCAUAUAAAUUUUACGUAUUUUCCAAGUACAACAGUGCCUUCCUACAGAAUUUCUCAACUCUACUGCAAGUGUUACUGACGAAACAUAAAGCUGCUCUUUGAAAGAAGAAUUACUUUCCCUUUUGGCACUUUUGAAUAACUUCUCUUUCAACUUGGUGUUCUUUCCCCCCCAAGAUCUGGGUUACAGAGCUGCUUACUUCAGUCCUCGGCGGAGGCCUAUUUGUAUUGGCUUUGAUGUAAGCGGUAAGCUUCUUGGUUUAAUUUUAAUGUUCCAAGGGAAGAGUUUAUUCACAAAUGUAUUACACAGCAUGAAAUCUUCAUGGAAGAACAAUGCGUAGUGGAUUUGGUUGGGAAAAUUAUUACAAAAGCGAUGUUCUCUUAGUAUAAAAAAAACGAUGUGUUUUCAUGAAGAACAAAGAGAGUGGGCAAGAUGGAAAAGACAGGCUUUGGCUGCAAAACAACGUGCAGUGUGUGCCCAGUAGGUGAAGUACACAUGCAGGCUAGAAUGAGAGCUGCUGCAGAAAAGAAAUCCUGAUUUCCAAGCAACAAGUUCAGAAUGCAGCCUGCUGAGCUUGCUGCUUUGCUGUUGUGUUCUUUAGCAGUGCCCUGUGCAAGAUUCUGUAUACCUUGUGAGCGUCGCAGUUGACUUUUAUUAUGCCUUUUAACCCUCUGUGGUCAUUUGCGCAGCACCGGCAGCACAGGUCGUAUUUAAGAGCAGCGAGACAGUGCUGUGCUCGAGGCUGGGCAGCUCCCAGGAGUGUCGCUGUGACUGUAAGCCCUGCUCCACUGUCAGCCACCCUUUCUUCACAUAGGAAUUCUUGCCAGCAGUGAAAGUGCCGAAUAUACAGGGGGAAGAAGAGGGGA
ensembl:lncRNA